UGUUCUGACUCUGCCAAUGUGUAUGCCAC
rnacentral:piRNA from 1 species